rnacentral:rRNA from 1 species
GAUGAACGCUGGCGGCGUGCCUAAUACAUGCAAGUCGAGCGAACGGACGAGAAGCUUGCUUCUCUGAUGUUAGCGGCGGACGGGUGAGUAACACGUGGAUAACCUACCUAUAAGACUGGGAUAACUUCGGGAAACCGGAGCUAAUACCGGAUGAUAUUUUGAACCGCAUGGUUCAAAAGUGAAAGACGGUCUUGCUGUCACUUAUAGAUGGAUCCGCGCUGCAUUAGCUAGUUGGUAAGGUAACGGCUUACCAAGGCAACGACGCAUAGCCGACCUGAGAGGGUGAUCGGCCACACUGGAACUGAGACACGGUCCAGACUCCUACGGGAGGCAGCAGUAGGGAAUCUUCCGCAAUGGGCGAAAGCCUGACGGGGCAACGCCGCGUGAGUGAUGAAGGUCUUCGGAUCGUAAAACUCUGUUAUUAGGGAAGAACAUAUGUGUAAGUAGCUGUGCACAUCUUGACGGUACCUAAUCAGAAAGCCACGGCUAACUACGUG